rnacentral:rRNA from 1 species
GAUGAACGCUGGCGGCGUGCCUAAUACAUGCAAGUCGAGCGAACAGACGAGGAGCUUGCUCCUCUGACGUUAGCGGCGGACGGGUGAGUAACACGUGGAUAACCUACCUAUAAGACUGGGAUAACUUCGGGAAACCGGAGCUAAUACCGGAUAAUAUAUUGAACCGCAUGGUUCAAUAGUGAAAGACGGUUUUGCUGUCACUUAUAGAUGGAUCCGCGCCGCAUUAGCUAGUUGGUAAGGUAACGGCUUACCAAGGCAACGAUGCGUAGCCGACCUGAGAGGGUGAUCGGCGACACUGGAACUGAGACACGGUCCAGACUCCUACGGGAGGCAGCAGUAGGGAAUCUGCCGCAAAGGGCGAAAGCCUGACGGAGCAACGCCGCGUGAGUGAUGAAGGUCUUCGGAUUGUAAAACUCUGUUAUUAGGGAAGAACAAAUGUGUAAGUAACUAUGCACGUCUUGACGGUACCUAAUCAGAAAGCCACGGCUAACUACGUG